GAUGAACGCUGGCGGCGUGCCUAUACCUGCAAGUCGAGCGAACAGACGAGGAGCUUGCUCCUCUGACGUUAGCGGCGGACGGGUGAGUAACACGUGGAUAACCUACCUAUAAGACUGGGAUAACUUCGGGAAACCGGAGCUAAUACCGGAUAAUAUAUUGAACCGCAUGGUUCAAUAGUGAAAGACGGUUUUGCUGUCACUUAUAGAUGGAUCCGCGCCGCAUUAGCUAGUUGGUAAGGUAACGGCUUACCAAGGCAACGAUGCGUAGCCGACCUGAGAGGGUGAUCGGCCACACUGGAACUGAGACACGGUCCAGACUCCUACGGGAGGCAGCAGUAGGGAAUCUUCCGCAAUGGGCGAAAGCUUGACGGAGCAACGCCGCGUGAGUGAUGAAGGUCUUCGGAUCGUAAAACUCUGUUAUUAGGGAAGAACAAAUGUGUAAGUAACUAUGCACGUCUUGACGGUACCUAAUCAGAAAGCCACGGCUAACUACGUG
rnacentral:rRNA from 1 species